rnacentral:rRNA from 1 species
UACAGAGGGGGCAAGCGUUAUUCGGAAUUAUUGGGCGUAAAAGGGCGCGUAGGCGGCUGAACAAGUCAAAGGUGAAAUCCCUCGGCUACAACCUGAGGAACUGCCUUUGGAAACUGUUGCUUGAGGCCGGGAGGGGGUAGACGGAAUUCCCAGUGUAGGCGGUGAAAUGCGUAGAUAGUUGGGAAGGAACACCAGUGGCGAA